UUAUAUGACCAGAUUAUGAUAGAUUUUAUAAAAGCUGAUAAUAGAGGGACUUUUUUUAUUAUUUUUAGGAGGUUUAUGACCUUCGCAGAUUGCAACACAUUUUUCUCUAAUGAAUUCAUGUGUUCCCUCCUUAUUAAUGAAUCUUUCCCUUUCAUUCGAAAACCUAAGUUCAGAAUGUUGAUCGAUUCUGCUUCGCGAUUAAGUCAUGUCGUAGCCUCCGUUGCAGCGAUCUUCGUCGCGUCUGCUCCGUCGCACCAGUUCCGUCACGCCAGCUUUGUCCCAUGGUCUUCGUCGUGCCAGCUCCAUUGAAAACCUAAUUUCAGAGUGCCAAUCGAUUUCGCUCCGCGAUUAAGCCAUGUUGUAGACUCCGUUGCAGCGAUCUUUCGUCGCGCCAGCUCCGUCGCGUCGUCGCCAACUCCAUUGCGCCAGCUCUGUGAUUCAGCUUCGUAUGUGUCCUUUUGAAGGUUAGUAGCAUAAUAUUUGUAGACUUGCCAGUUUUCACUGGAUUCACUUAUCCCACAUCAGUUGUCUGCUACUCAACGAAGUGAUUGGAUACUUGUUCACCAGGCCCAUCAAUUUCUAAGAAAGUGGCUGAUUGAUCAUCCAACUUUUUUAUCAAACGAAAUUUACAUCGGUGGCGAUUCGUACUCUGGCAUUCCUAUUCCAGUCAUUGUUCAAGAAAUUUCGCAAGGAAAUACAAGACAUAGUUAAGGGUUGUGACACAUUCAAGAAGCAAUAGGUGCUGCCAAAUCUACAUUUUCUACAAUUAGAGGAAAAAAUUGAUGAUUUGAUGUUGAAAAAUCCAGAAACUGCAUCAGAUAUAUCUCCAAAUGAUCCAGUUGGUGUGAUAUUUGGAAAAGAAUAUCUAGGACGAGUUAGAGGACUUUCAUUUGGAGCUUGUCCUACACUUGCUUUCCAGCAAUGUCCGACUGCAAAAUUAAAUGGAAUCAACUUUGCUUCAUCUAGUGGAACUUCAUCAAAUACGGAGGACAAGUUUGUAAAGAUGGAAAGUGAGCUUGCAACUGUCAAGAACCAAAUGAACCAAAUGCAAACAGUGCUUGCCUAUAUUGCUUCUAGAGAAGAUAUUCCUGAACCUCUUGCUGCAAUGGUUGCUGCUUUUGUACAUCCGUCAUCUAAUGAGGAUCUUCAAAGUGGUGCACCGUCUCCAAAUGGUGUAGCAGGAUCAAGUGGUGGAAGCAAAACCGAUUAGGAUUAGAUUUAAAUGUAGAUUUGUAUUAUGAUUUGACAAUGACUUUUAAUAUUGUCUAUUUUAUGCUUAGAUACUUCAACUCCU